rnacentral:rRNA from 1 species
ACAUGCCUACAACAUAGUUUUAAUGCAUAAAAUCGCAUUAGAACUCCGCAGUUAAGUGUGCUCAGGCUAGAGUAGUACUGGGAUGGGUGACCACCCAAGAAGUCCUAGUGUUUUACAUGCC